GAAAGUGGUAUUCGACUACCAGAAUAUGAUAUUUGAACACAAAUGUGAUUUAUUUUGAAAAAUUGUAGCUUUGGAAAGUGGUAGUCAACUACCAGAAUGUUGUAGCCAACUACCAGCUGAACCAAUUAUUUUUUCAUGAACAUGAAUCACUUUUUUGAUUGACAAUGCUUCAUGGAAUUUUUUCAAAGUUAUGCAUCUACUCAUAAAGGCUUCUAAGUGCGUAUAAAUGAUGGUUUAACAUUGAAAACGAGAUACC
rnacentral:lncRNA from 1 species